UCGAUCCAAAGCACUCCCGCACCCAGAAGGUGUUCGAUAAAUGCUUGAUCCACUAGAUCUAGAGGUUUUCGUCUCUAUCCCAAGGGAUUGGCCGUUUAGAGCGUUUAUUGACUGUAAUAGGUUGAAUCGUAUUGCCUGCAUAGUUAGAUUCUGUUAAUGGGAAUUAGUUUGUGCUAGCUUUGCUUGAGGGUUUCUAUCACGAU
rnacentral:sRNA from 1 species